AGAAAUAAAGGAUUUUAAUGACACAGUUUUCUUCCGCUCUGAAAGUGAACGAAUUACAAAACAGUCUAGAGAAUUCCUCGCCCUGCUGCAGAAGAUCAAUCCUGGGUUGUGCUCACCAAAGCAAACCUCUUUUUUUGUGUAUUCAGUGUCUUAACUAUGUAAAAGACAACUAUAACAGGUGUACAGUGCUGUUUCUGAAAUUGACGAAUCCUCUUGUGAUGAAGAUUGAAGAAGCUAUUGCCAUCCAAGUGGAAAAAGUCCCGCCUCUGUCACCCUCCUCGAAUAGAACUAAGAAAAUGUGGAGACUUUCUUCAUUUAGUUCCAAAUCAAGUGGACCAGAUGUUGAUUUGUUUGAAAUGGACUGAGACUUGUGUUUCAUAUGCCAGGUUGAACAGACGUUAGAAACGAAAAAGGAUAGUCUGAUUCAAGGAAAAGAUAAUAGUUUCUUCGUCGAUUUCGCAACAUACUAUCUGUGGACAUCUACAGAAAUCGUCAGGAUCUGUGCAACAUCGAUGUUAAUCCUGAUUCGCACAUGAACAAGUGCCCUGUUCUUAACCCUGAGAGUCUCGGAAAAUAUCUCUAUAGCAAGCUAGGUAGAUAUCACAAAACAUGUCGUUUGAGGUACAGCAACUCGAGGGUGAAACAAUUGAAGGGUAAAUUAUCUGAAGCUGUAAGUUUAAAAC